rnacentral:lncRNA from 1 species
CCUUUUAACCAUCUCCUAUCACAGCCCACAUUCAAGCUUUAGAAUCUCAAAGCUUGCUUUUGUCUGAACUGCUUUCACAAACAUCCACAAGUUACGAUCAGUUUUGGUUCUGAUCUAGCAGUUCUGGAGCAGAGUUAAGAGGGACAAAGGAAAACAAUCCGUUGAAAUAGAGAAGUGUGGAAAUAUAUGGCCCUUGUUGGAACUCCAUAUAUAGACCAGAUUGCUCUUGAACACAGAAAUAUCUGCCUGAUUUUUAUUCCUGAAAGCUGAGAUUAAAGUGACAGGCAGUGAAAGAUACUUCUUAGAAAAUGUUGACUCCUCUGGAAUAAAGCACUGCUAUGAGGCACUGGUUGGGAAAUUCAUGAGAAAGGAAACUGACUCUUAGAAAACAUGCCAGGUUAAAGGGUUCUGACAUUGACAACAGAAGAAAAAAGGUGAGCUGAAGAAGGACAGCAGCAAUAGACAUGCAAAUGCAGAUGGAGGAAAGCCAAGGCUGGCUAAGGACAACAAAAGAAUGUGAGAGGAGAUGAAAUAAUCUUUCACAAGGAAGAGCUCACAAAUGCUGCUUAGAAGUACUUGCAUUUGGCAUCUUUUCUGCACAUCGAAUACAGCUGAGCACUGUCCCUCCAGGAGAAAGCUGUUCUUCCAGGAAUGCCUUCACUCCCAGGCUUUGAGAUCCAUAACACAACCAUAAUGUGCACAGAAGGGGAAGAAAUAUUUAAG